GAACGGAGAUGACGCUGGGCUGUGGGGAGCAAAAGCAGACGUCGAGGAAGGGGAGAUUUGGGGCAUAUGCAUGUGAGCUGUGAGUAUCAUCAUACAGAAAACGGAAGGAAGCAAAUGGCAGGUCUGGAGGAAGCGGGUGACACGUUCUAAGAGGUGAAGAGACUCCUGUGGAGAACAAAGCUGAUCAGCGUGGAAGCUGUCUGGACUAGGUUAUCUCUGCAUCUGUCUCAGUUGUAAUGCUGUUGUCAGCAAGCACAAGCGGGAACAGUGUGCAGAUUGUUUUAAUUUGCGCUGGGGGACUGCAUUUGGCUCUAUGAAUGAGGACGCAUCUUUGAACGUUCCCUGCCUCUACUGAGCUCAGUGCUCCUGGUUUGCAGUUCUACAAUAUGAGUAUGCACUUAGCCAGCAGGAUCUGAGCUGGGCCUACAAGGCAAUCUUUGUGGACUCUGCUGUUCCCAUGUUGCAGGGUGUGGGCUUGGCUGUGACCGAGAUCCUGAGCAGACCCCGAAUGAGCAUGCUAAAGGGCAACGCAAAACCCAGAGACAUCAUUUUUUAUUGUAUGAGCAAAAGCUUUUGGCUGCCGGAGAAGAGUUCUCCUCUGUUGCAUAUGGAACUGCUGCAAAGUAUUUGCCAAUGCCUUGACGUUCUUCCACCCGAAAGGGAAUUAAUCACUGAGAGGGCAUGAAGAGCACAGCACAGAAAGCAGGCAUGGUCCAAAACUCAAGGGACUAAUUAUGCUCUUAAACGUGAAUGAAAAUGUAUCAUCACAACACCGAAUUAAGGAUCAAGAAAAAUACUGUUGGCAAGAAGCUGUAUACACUGAAGGUAUUCAAGACUGAUGGACAAGAACCUCUUGCAUCCAUACCUGUGGCAAAAGAAAAAGGAGUAUGUUAUGUGGGAUCCAGCUACACAUAGAUCAUCAAGAACCUCCUCAGCAGGUCUUUGACACGCAUGAUUUUGAAAUGCAGUCUGUACCACUGCAGUUACUACAAUUGGAACAGUAGUGGGUUCUUGCCAGUUGCUGUAGUCUCACAUGAAAAAGCUCACGUUAAGUACUUGGAGAGAACUCAACCACAUACCUUCUUCAGCUGAAAAAACUGUGGUGACCGAACUGAAUGGCCCUUCUCCUUUAUUGUUAUAUACACCAACUUUGACUUCAUAUGGUGAAAAUGGUCAUAGCAUGUGCUUGAUCUUCUGAAUCAAAGUAAAUGUACAGAUAACUUGAAUGAUAAGUAUAAUUUAAUAAUACACAUGAAAUGUUUUGUCUCUCUAUAUAAUUUGUUUUCUACACUACCUUAAUGGAGAACUUGAUCCUAGACCUUUGGUAGACUGUGUCACUUUAAAAUCUGAGAGAUUUUUCACCUGGAAAAUGUGAUGUGAAGUGUAUUAAAGCAGUUACUAUUCAGCUGACACAAAGAGAAGAUUUUGAUCUCAGUCACGCUGGGGAAGUAGAGUUGAUGGUCUGAUAUCCACAGGACUAUGGUGGUGGAUUCAUACACUCAGCAAAAACUUGGUUGCUUUGGCUCAGCGUGACUAUACCUGGGUAUCCUGCUACUUGAGCAAAAGUUUUAAUAGAUCAUUUGUGGUAUGCUUUGCUGGCAGAAAUGUUCUCUUUGAAAAGGCAACUUCACCUACGAGAGACAACAGAGUUUGCUGGGAACUGCUACCAUGCAGCAUGGUGCUGGAGUGGUCAUUUUCUGUGUUUCUGGUCUAUCUUAUUCACUAGAACAGUGAAUAGUUCAGGUAAGGAUCACCUCCUUUAAUGUCAUUGCUUAUUUUAUAUGACAUCACUGGUAGGGAACAGAGUCAAUUAAGUCUGGCAAGACUUUCCAAAGAACUUUCUAGCUUAACACCUGCUCAUUCUUUCCAUUUCAUGAUUCAGUUUGCUUCAGGCUGUUUUUCUGCACAUCUAGAAGACUUUUCCUUUACAGAAACCCCCUAACUUUCCAGGCAUGUUGCAAAGUUCAUUUUCCAGAGAAGUAGGAAUUCAUUUGAAGACAGAAUCCUAUUCAGUGGACAUUUUCAGCUACACUGGGCACAUGAUUGAUUCUUUGACACACAAUAGUUUGGGAGAAGAGGAAAGAAAUGACUCUGGGAUUUUAAUCUUAUUUAAAAAAAAAAACAACUUUUCCAACUCUUUGGUUAUUUGUGUUCACGCCUAUUAUUCUGUUUUGAUCCUUACAUUUCAAGAAUCAUUUGUUUUCACAGAGACUGCCAUUAUUUCAAAUAAAUCUCUAACACAAAAAGCAAAUAAGCUCAGUCAUUUUGUCACAAACUUGUUUUAGAGCUUUAGUCUAGUCCACUGAUGUCAAUGGGAGCUUUGACGUUUAUAGUUAAAAUUGCAGGACUAGCACUGUCACGUCUCACUUUUUUAUUCAGCACAAGCUCAAGACAAUUCUGACUGCUCCCUUCCACAUGUGACAAUAUGAAUACAAUGCCUCAUCUUCUAUUACAACGUAGAUGCUAGCAUUUACAGGACAAUCCAGCACUGAUAGCCUACUCUACAUUAAAAGUUAAGUCAAAGGCAAUCUAAAAUCCAGCUAUCUGCUUGGAAAUGGGAAUGCAAGAAAUUAACAACAGCAAUGUAUACUCACAGGCAAAUCAUGUUCGACAUGAACUUAUUUUAGCAAAUGACAUUUAAAACAUCUAGACAAUAGGGAAUCAUCAAAUAGAAUAAUUUUACUUGAAAUAGAAACCUGCCUCCCCUUGGCCUGACACGUUUGAAUGGGCUAGACCACUAUCUUUUUAAUGGAAGUGAAGAAAAUGCUGUUACAGGGUUAGUUCUAAUAUUCAUUAUGUAAUAGCAAAAUAUAUGGCCACUGAAAUAGUAACACUGCACUCAAAUUUUUCUUGGCUAUUUUGAGGAAGAAUCCAAAAGUAGUGGGGAAAAUACAGAAACCUGCAGCAGCAAAAAGCUGCAGUGCAGAAAGCACUCUCACCUCUCGUUGUUCUGCAGACCACUAGCAGUAUCCACAUUUUUGCCUAGCCAGAUUAAAUCUUUGCCAGCGUGGACUAGUCCAGGUGACAGUAAGUCACCCACCUUUCUCCAUGCUACACAGAAUUCAAAUAGAGUAGUCCACGUGGUAUGAACAUCUGCAACUGGUCCUAAAAUUGCUUUUACUUUUCCUGACUGCAUAACAAUUUCAGCCAUUGCUGGGCUGUCUAAACAGGUGACACUAGAAACAGUUUAGGGCCAAUCUGUUCAGAAUUUUGGAAAUGCUUGAUUUGCCACACUCCUCAUAUAAAUUAUCUGUCUAACAAAAAAAGAGCAGUUAAACAGUGUUAUAUCGUGGGUUUUUGUAACCAUCUGGAAGACCAGGUGGUUGGUAGUCCCAUAACAUUCCCACUAACUAGUACAUGUUGGAGGCCUCAAGGCAUGCUAUAUCCUUUAAGAAUGUGACAGGAACUCCCAAGACAUCAUUACAUAGCCCUCCUCUCAAAGAAGCAAUCCAUUCAUUGAAGAGUUAUUUUCCUUUUGCCGUGUUCACCACCAACAAAGCUGAUGUGAUUUUUGCAUAAAUAAGCACUGCAGCUAUUGGAAGGCUCAUAACAUAUUUAUGCUGUCUUCUUUACUUACCAUGACUCUCAUUUCCAGAUGAAAUCAUUCCAUUAACCUAAAUGGGAUCCAGAGAAAGCCCACAAAAUAUUUUAGUGUAUCUCUUGAUAAUCUAUGAAGUUUUCUAGUAAUGGGCUUCAAUCCCCUUUUUAUACAAACAAGAGUUAAAAAACAAAACCAAAAACUUCUACUCCCCAUAAGAACCCCACCUCUGUUUCUUAUGACAGAUUUUCAAGUAAAAUGUAGUUUCAGCAUUCUGAAUUAGUCAAUAGUAUUCACCCUGGAACACUAUCCAGGACUGGCUGCGAAUUUUCUAUGAAAACUUCUUUUUGACACCUGUGUUUGUUUUAUGAAAAAGCAGAAAUUUUUAUUGAGAAAAAAUACUUAACUUUCCAGUCAGCUUAUAAAUCCUUAUUGUCAGAAAUUGUCAGAUUUAAGUUUUUUGAAUAUUUUUAACCUUUCCUUUCUAAAAUUACUAUUUGUAUAAACAACUAGAGUGCAGCUGGUACUUCAGGAAAAUAUUACUAAGUAAAUAAAGACCAUGUUACUGGAAGGUAACAGGCUAUGAAAUCAGAGCAUUCCCAUUACAUCAUGACAGAUGGUCAAUUCAUAAUUCUACAAAGAUUUCCAUGAAAACGUACGUGAUAUAUCAAUAUCUUAUUGUUCAUCUCAUCAUCUUCACAUGCAUUUGUAUUUAAUUGCCCACUGUGGAACAAUCUGUG